rnacentral:rRNA from 1 species
GAUGAACGCUGGCGGCGUGCCUAAUACAUGCCAGUCGAGCGAACGGACGAGAAGCUUGCUUCUCUGAUGUUAGCGGCGGACGGGUGAGUAACACGUGGAUAACCUACCUAUAAGACUGGGAUAACUUCGGGAAACCGGAGCUAAUACCGGAUGAUAUUUUGAACCGCAUGGUUCAAAAGUGAAAGACGGCCUUGCUGUCACUUAUAGAUGGAUCCGCGCUGCAUUAGCUAGUUGGUAAGGUAACGGCUUACCAAGGCAACGAUGCAUAGCCGACCUGAGAGGGUGAUCGGCCACACUGGAACUGAGACACGGUCCAGACUCCUACGGGAGGCAGCAGUAGGGAAUCUUCCGCAAUGGGCGAAAGCCUGACGGAGCAACGCCGCGUGAGUGAUGAAGGUCUUCGGAUCGUAAAACUCUGUUAUUAGGGAAGAACAUAUGUGUAAGUAACUGUGCACAUCUUGACGGUACCUAAUCAGAAAGCCACGGCUAACUACGUG